UCUUUUCUUAGUCUAAAAAAUGGGUUAAACCUAAUUGUUCUCAUCAUCUUAAAGCAUCAAUCCAAAAUUAUAGUCUCAAAAUGCAUUCACAAACAAGUUCUAGAACAAACACACUAUGUUCGACACACUCA